GGAGAGUUGUCAGAGAGGCUUAAUGAUACGGGUUGCUAACUCGUUGUACUAGUAAUAGUACCAAGGGUUCGAAUCCCUUACUCUCCU
rfam:Listeria bacteriophage P100, complete genome.